GACGAACGCUGGCGGCGUGCCUAAUACAUGCAAGUAGAACGCACAGUUUAUACCGUAGCUUGCUACACCAUAAACUGUGAGUUGCGAACGGGUGAGUAACGCGUAGGUAACCUGCCUGGUAGCGGGGGAUAACUAUUGGAAACGAUAGCUAAUACCGCAUAAUAUUAAUUAUUGCAUGAUAAUUGAUUGAAAGAUGCAAUUGCAUCACUACCAGAUGGACCUGCGUUGUAUUAGCUAGUAGGUGAGGUAACGGCUCACCUAGGCGACGAUACAUAGCCGACCUGAGAGGGUGAUCGGCCACACUGGGACUGAGACACGGCCCAGACUCCUACGGGAGGCAGCAGUAGGGAAUCUUCGGCAAUGGACGAAAGUCUGACCGAGCAACGCCGCGGGAGUGAAGAAGGUUUUCGGAUCGUAAAGCUCUGUUGUAAGAGAAGAACGGGUGUGAGAGUGGAAAGUUCACAAUGUGACGGUAUCUUACCAGAAAGGGACGGCUAACUACGUG
rnacentral:rRNA from 1 species